rnacentral:rRNA from 1 species
UACGUAGGGGGCUAGCGUUGUCCGGAUUUAUUGGGCGUAAAGAGCGUGUAGGCGGCCAUGUAGGUCCGGUGUGAAAACUCGAGGCUCAACCUCGAGACGUCGACGGAAACCAUCUGGCUAGAGUCCGGAAGAGGAGAGUGGAAUUCCUGGUGUAGCGGUGAAAUGCGCAGAUAUCAGGAAGAACACCCGUGGCGAAGGCGGCUCUCUGGGACGGUACUGACGCUGAGACGCGAAAGCGUGGGGAGCGAACAGG